rnacentral:lncRNA from 1 species
GGACUGGGUACAGGAGGAGGUGGGGAGUAUUUUGUUUGGGGACUCAGCCUCCCCGAUUUUUUUUUUUUCUACAAACCAGCUGCAGCACUGGGGAGGGGGAGGAGUGUGGGUGCAGGGCACCCCGGAGCCAAACACUAUUCCUGCAUCCUGGGUUGGUGAGAUGGAGGAAGAGGGGGGGAUGUCGGGAGUACGGAUGGUGUUUUCACCGGUAGAUAUGGAGCAGGGGAGCAUCGGGUGAGUCUCCUGUUUUUGUUUUUUUCUGUCUGUGUUUAGAAUUUGAGUGUAUUACAUGUUUUUAUUUGAUUCUUUCAUGGGGUCUAAUUUUACUUUUGUUACUUUAAAUGUAAGGGGUUUAAGGGAUUUUGUUAAGAGGAGGGCGGUUUUUAGUUAUUUGGAGGGUGUGGGGUUUGAUUUUUGUUUUUUACAGGAGGUUCACCUGAGGGAUGGAGGGGAUGUUAGUAGGUUUAAGAGGGAGUGGGACAAGGGGGAGUCGGUUUGGGGUAUUGGGGGGGUGCACUCAUCGGGGGUAGGGAUUUUGUGUGGGCACAGGGAGGUAAAAGUGGAGGAUUCUUUUGUGGUAAUGCAGGGGAGGGUUAUAGGGGUGGAUGUCACGAUAAGGGAUUGUACAUUUAGAUUAGUGGUGGUGUAUGGGCCACAGGUGGUGGCAGACAGGAGGGAGAUGGUGGACUGUCUGACGCCCCUGUGUGUCACAAAUAGGAAAUUAGUGAUGGGGGGGGAUUUUAAUACAGAUUUAGGAAUAGGGGGGGAUAGCAGUGCAGGCGCCAUUACCGGGCUAAUGGCUUGCCAUGGUCUGGUUGAUGGUGGUCUGCACACUACUCCGAAAAUGGCCGGUCCUACAUGGCGCAACUCCAGGGGGGUUGAGCGGAGGCUCGACUAUAUUUUUGUACCCAGGUCUUUGGGUAAGUUGUCUGGGCGGCUGUUGCCUGUUUUCUUUUCGGAUCACGACGGGGUGCUCCUGCAGGUGGGGUCGCCAGUCUGCCUCUUUGGUAGGGGGUACUGGAAGUUAGAUCGGGAUGUGCUGGAGGAGCAGGCUUUUGUUGACGGGUUUUAUGGUUUCUUUUGGAGGCUUGAAGGCCUCCGGUCCAUGUGCGAGGGGGUGUUAGAGUGGUGGGAAUUAGUUAAGGUGAGGAUUAGGGCUUUUAUAAUAGGGUAUUGCAAGAGGAAAAAAAGGGAGGAGAGGAGGGAGGUGGAUCGUAUCCAAAGGUUAAUUGAACUCGAGUACGAGGCAGGCAACCUCGGCGGGUCGUUUGACUGGGAGAGAUCCGCUACCCUAAAGGCGCAGCUCAGGGAGUUGCAGGAGCGGAAGGCUCGAGCUUUCCUGGAGCGUGCGCAUAGUGGCUUUCUA